CGGUGAGGGGUCUGGGAGGAAGCGGGCUCAGGAGCUGCGGUGGGGAGGCUCAGGAAGCAGAUGGGGCUUGAUGGAGAGUCAGUCAGCUGUCAGGGGAGCCACAGUGCCAGCCACAGUAAGGAUUAUCUUCUUUGUGGAUCCGGGUCUGCCUCUUCCCUGGUUGACUCCCUCCUUUUAGCAGAACACUCCCUGUUGUAGCAUCCUGAGACGGGAAAGAUGGAAAGCAAAUGUGGAAGAAAUCUGUGUUUUAAAAACGCCCUUAGAGCCUCUGAUAGAUUGUGAUUUGGCUGGACAUAAACUCUACAUUGCAAAUCA